ACGAACGCUGGCGGCGUGCUUAACACAUGCAAGUCGAACGGAAAGGCCCUGCUUGCAGGGUCCUCGAGUGGCGAACGGGUGAGUAACACGUGGGUGAUCUGCCCUGCACUUCGGGAUAAGCCUGGGAAACUGGGUCUAAUACCGGAUAGGAGCCAUUUUUAGUGUGAUGGUUGGAAAGUUUUUUCGGUGUAGGAUGAGCUCGCGGCCUAUCAGCUUGUUGGUGGGGUAAUGGCCUACCAAGGCGGCGACGGGUAGCCGGCCUGAGAGGGUGGACGGCCACAUUGGGACUGAGAUACGGCCCAGACUCCUACGGGAGGCAGCAGUGGGGAAUAUUGCACAAUGGGCGCAAGCCUGAUGCAGCGACGCCGCGUGGGGGAGGACGGCCUUCGGGUUGUAAACGCCUUUCGCUAGGGACGAAGCUUUUUGUGACGGUACCUAGAGAAGAAGCACCGGCUAACUACGUG
rnacentral:rRNA from 1 species